rnacentral:rRNA from 1 species
GACAGAGGUGCCAAGCGUUAGGCGGAAUCACUGGGCUUAAAGCGUGUGUAGGUGGAUUUGUAAGUACCUUGUGAAAUCCCACAGCUCAACUGUGGAACUGCUCGGUAUACUGCGAAUCUUGAGCCACUUAGGGGCAACCGGAACAAAUGGUGGAGCGGUGAAAUGCGUAGAGAUGCGGAGGAACACCGAUGGCGAAGGCAGCCCCCUGGGCUAACACUGACGCUCAGGCACGAAAGCGUGGGGAGCAAACAGG